rnacentral:misc_RNA from 1 species
UUUCCGUAGGUGAACCUGCGGAAGGAUCAUUAUUGUGUAACCGAGGUGCGAGGGCUGUCGCUGACCCGAAAGGUCGUGCACGCCCGAGUGCCCUCACACACAUCCAUCUCACCCCUAUGUGCACCACCGCGUGGGUCCCCCUUUGGCUUGUUCGGAGGGGGGCUUACGUUUUCACACAAACUUUGUAUGCAGUGUAGAAUGUAUUUUUGUUUUUGCGAUCACGCAAUCAAUACAACUUUCAACAACGGAUCUCUUGGCUCUC